rnacentral:rRNA from 1 species
AUUGAACGCUGGCGGCAUGCCUAACACAUGCAAGUCGAACGGAGGUAGGGGCAACUCUACUUCAGUGGCGGACGGGUGAGGAAUGCGUCGGAAUCUACCCUAUGGUGGGGGAUAACACAGGGAAACUUGUGCCAAUACCGCAUAAUGUCGAGAGACCAAAGCAGGGGACCGCAAGGCCUUGCGCGAUAGGAUGAGCCGACGCCCGAUUAGCUAGUUGGUAGGGUAAAGGCCUACCAAGGCGACGAUCGGUAGCUGGUCUGAGAGGAUGAUCAGCCACACUGGGACUGAGACACGGCCCAGACUCCUACGGGAGGCAGCAGUGGGGAAUAUUGGACAAUGGGCGCAAGCCUGAUCCAGCAAUGCCGCGUGUGUGAAGAAGGCCUGCGGGUUGUAAAGCACUUUUGUUCGGGAAGAAAUCAUGCUGGUUAAUACCUGGUAUGGAUGACGGUACCGAAAGAAUAAGCACCGGCUAACUUCGUGCCAGCAG